CAAAUUUGCUGUUUCACUUUUCUUUUAAAUAAGCAAGCUGAAUUACUUGGAAGAGGAAGGCAGGAGGAAUAGAGGAGACAGAAACCAAGCAGCCGAAGCCCAGAAACAUUCUCUGCUUCACAUAAGUGCCUGAAGGAGAAUUGAAAAACAUCCUUGCUGCAUCAGAAAUAUAUUUACAAACCAUCUCUUUGGACAUUUGCCUGUUUAUCUGGACUGUACAUUCCUAGAAUGCGCACAUAAAAAGUGAAGGACUCUUUUGAGCAGCAUAGAGAAGAAACUUCUGU
rnacentral:lncRNA from 1 species